rnacentral:rRNA from 1 species
GCCUACGGGAGGCAGCAGUAGGGAAUUUUCGUCAAUGGGCGCAAGCCCGAACGAGCAAUGCCGCGUGAACGAGGAAGGUCUUCGGAUCGUAAAGUUCUGUUGAAGGGGAAAAAGAGCGGAGAGAGGAAAUGCUUUCUGAUUGAUAUUACCCUUCGAGGAAGUCACGGCUAACUACGUGCCAGCAGCCGCGGUAAUACGUAGGUGGCGAGCGUUAUCCGGAAUGAUUGGGCGUAAAGGGUGCGUAGGCGGCCUGCUAAGUCUGGAGUGAAAGGUACCGGCUCAACCGGUACAGGCUCUGGAAACUG